UACGGGGGGUGCGAGCGUUGUCCGGAAUCACUGGGCGUAAAGAGCUCGUAGGCGGCUUGUCGCGUCGACUGUGAAAUCCCGCGGCUCAACUGCGGGUCUGCAGUCGAUACGGGCAGGCUAGAGUUCGGUAGGGGAGACUGGAAUUCCUGGUGUAGCGGUGAAAUGCGCAGAUAUCAGGAGGAACACCGAUGGCGAAGGCAGGUCUCUGGGCCGAUACUGACGCUGAGGAGCGAAAGCGUGGGGAGCGAACAGG
rnacentral:rRNA from 1 species